rnacentral:rRNA from 1 species
CUCAGUAACGGCGAGUGAAGCGGCAACAGCUCAAAUUUGAAAUCUGGCUCUUUCAGGGUCCGAAUUGUAAUUUGUAGAAGAUGCUUCGAGUGUUAGCCUGGUCUAAGUUCCUUGGAACAGGACGUCAUAGAGGGUGAGAAUCCCGUAUGUGACUAGUGCUCUCGCUCAUGUGAAGCUCUUUCGACGAGUCGAGUUGUUUGGGAAUGCAGCUCAAAAUGGGUGGUAAAUUUCAUCUAAAGCUAAAUAUUGGCCAGAGACCGAUAGCGCACAAGUAGAGUGAUCGAAAGAUGAAAAGCACUUUGGAAAGAGAGUUAAACAGUACGUGAAAUUGUUGAAAGGGAAGCGCUUGCAACUAGACUUGCACGCCGUCGAUCAUCCGAGGUUUUCCCCGGUGCACUCGGCGGCGUUCAGGCCAGCAUCGGUUUGGGUGGUUGGAUAAAGGCCUUGGGAAUGUAGCUUCUUUCGGGGAGUGUUAUAGCCCUCGGUGCAAUGCAGCCUAUCUGGACCGAGGACCGCGCUUCGGCUAGGAUGCUGGCGUAAUGGUUGUAAGCGACCCGUCUUGAAACACGGACCAAGGAGUCUAACAUCUAUGCGAGUGUUUGGGUGUCAAACCCAUACGCGUAAUGAAAGUGAACGGAGGUGAGAACCCUUAAGGGUGCAUCAUCGACCGAUCCUGAUGUCUUCGGAUGGAUUUGAGUAAGAGCAUAGCUGUUGGGACCCGAAAGAUGGUGAACUAUGCCUGAAUAGGGUGAAGCCAGAGGAAACUCUGGUGGAGGCUCGCAGCGGUUCUGACGUGCAAAUCGAUCGUCAAAUUUGGGUAAUAGGGCGGAAAGACUAAUCGAACCCAUUGAAUACUAGGUGGUUAAGAGAGAGGUAAAAGACCUCAUCUAGUCCAGAUCUCAGGGCAACACUAUCAAAUUGUACGGGGACGUCCUGUAACACUCUAAGCUACCGCAGCCACGCGAAAGGCUGGUGCGCACCAGGUUAACGACCUCGGGAAUGGUAAUAACGCUUAGAUUGGGAUAAUCCGCAGCCAAGUCCUAAGGGUCAAGUACCUAUGGAUGCAGUUCACAGACUAAAUGGUAGUGGGCUGAAUCAUAUCAUUCAGCUUAAGUUAUAGUCGAUCCACUGGGAGACCAGAUGGGCAGGAAGAUAAGUAUGUAAGAGAUCUCUACUUUUUGUAGAAUUAUAUGCUUUGGAGCCUGUUCGGGAGGAUAUAAGACCUACCAGUCUUGUCCUCUUGGGGAGAGUUGUGUUAUAUUAUAACUCACUCUCAGAAUGCUAGUAGCUGGUUCCUGCCGAAGUUUCCCUCAGGAUAGCAGUGUUGAAUUCAGUUUUAUGAGGUAAAGCGAAUGAUUAGAGGCCUUGGGGUUGCAACAACCUUAACCUAUUCUCAAACUUUAAAUAUGUAAGAAGUCCUUGUUACUUAAUUGAACGUGGACAUUCGAAUGUACCAACACUAGUGGGCCAUUUUUGGUAAGCAGAACUGGCGAUGCGGGAUGAACCGAACGUGAAGUUAAGGUGCCGGAAUAUACGCUCAUCAGACACCACAAAAGGUGUUAGUUCAUCUAGACAGCAGGACGGUGGCCAUGGAAGUCGGAAUCCGCUAAGGAAUGUGUAACAACUCACCUGCCGAAUGAACUAGCCCUGAAAAUGGAUGGCGCUUAAGCGUAUUACCCAUACUUCACCGCCAGGGUAGAAACGAUGCCCUGGCGAGUAGGCAGGCGUGGAGGUCAGUGACGAAGCCUUG